rnacentral:ncRNA from 1 species
AACCUGGUUGAUCUUGCCAGUAGUCAUAUGCUUGUCUCAAAGAUUAAGCCAUGCAAGUGAAAGUAUAUACAUAUUUUAUAUGUAGAAACUGCGAACGGCUCAUUAAAACAGUUAUAAUCUACUUGACAUUUCUACUUACAAGGAUAACUACGGAAAAGCUGUAGCUAAUACUUGCUUUAAUACGUUUGAUUCAUUUUUGUCUCUUACGUAUGUACUUGUUAAGCCUUUAAGAGAAAAGUUUACAACUUAAGGAAUUAUAACAAAGAAGUAACACAUAAUAAGUUUACCUUAUUUAGUGUGUAUCAAUCGAGUUUCUGACCUAUCAGCUUUUGAUGUUAGGGUAUUGGCCUAACAUGGCUAUGACGGGUAACGGGGAAUUAGAGUUCGAUUCCGGAGAGGGAGCCUGAGAAAUAGCU